UACGUAGGGUGCAAGCGUUUAAUCGGAAUUACUGGGCGUAAAGCGUGCGCAGGCGGUUCGCUAAGACAGAUGUGAAAUCCCCGGGCUUAACCUGGGAACUGCAUUUGUGACUGGCGGGCUAGAGUAUGGCAGAGGGGGUAGAAUUCCGACGUGUAGCAGUGAAAUGCGUGAGAUAUGUGGAGGAAUACCGAUGGCGAAGGCAAGCCCCCUGGGAU
rnacentral:rRNA from 1 species